AUGUUUUUGUAAGUACUGUAAGCGAUAUCGUUCGUGUAUGUGUUGGCGUAGACGGAUACUUCAUAAUUAUAAGCUUUUAACUUGUUAACGUGUGUACUAAUCAAUUUUCGAAAGCUAGGUGCGAAGCAAUUUACAAUGCAAUGAUGUCGGUUUGUUUGUGGGCUAUAAACCAAGUCAGAGGCACAGGGGCAGAGCCGGCAUCACACUGUAAUUAAUGGACGGCAAGACAGGGGUGAAAUUGGAUCAAUUUGACCCCCCCUUCCCAAUUUUAAAAGGACCUAUUGGUAAACAAAACUAAUUAACGCCGAUCGUUGAUUGGGUAAAUGAUUUUUUGGAUUAAAUUCAAAUUUGUUAUGUAA